rnacentral:rRNA from 1 species
GACGUACGCUGGCGGCGUGCUUAACACAUGCAAGUCGAACGAUGAAGGAGAGCUUGCUCUCCGGAUUAGUGGCGAACGGGUGAGUAACACGUGACUAACCUGCCCCUUUCUCUGGGAUAACGCUCCGAAAGGAGUGCUAAUACCGGAUACGAACUCUGAACACAUGUUCGGAGUUGGAAAGUUUUUCGGAAAGGGAUGGAGUCGCGGCCUAUCAGCUUGUUGGUGAGGUAACGGCUCACCAAGGCGACGACGGGUAGCCGGCCUGAGAGGGCGACCGGCCACACUGGGACUGAGACACGGCCCAGACUCCUACGGGAGGCAGCAGUGGGGAAUAUUGCACAAUGGGCGAAAGCCUGAUGCAGCGACGCCGCGUGAGGGAUGAAGGUCUUCGGAUUGUAAACCUCUUUCAGUAGGGACGAAGCGAGAGUGACGGUACCUAAAGAAGAAGCACCGGCUAACUACGUGCCAGCCGCCGCCGUAA